UACACUCCUGCGGGAGGCAGCAGUGGGGAAUUUUGGAAAAUGGGCGAAAGCCUGAUCCAGCCAUGCCGCGUGCAGGAUGAAGGCCUUCGGGUUGUAAACUGCUUUUGUACGGAACGAAACGGCCUUUUCUAAUAAAGAGGGCUAAUGACGGUACCGUAAGAAUAAGCACCGGCUAACUACGUGCCAGCAGCCGCGGUAAUACGUAGGGUGCAAGCGUUAAUCGGAAUUACUGGGCGUAAAGCGUGCGCAGGCGGUUUUGUAAGACAGUUGUGAAAUCCCCGGGCUCAACCUGGGAACUGCAUCUGUGACUGCCUAGCUAGAGUACGGUAGAGGUGGAUGGAAUUCCUCGUGUAGCAGUGAAAUGCGUAGAUAUUCGGAGGAACACCGAUGGCGAAGGCAAUCCCCUGGACCUGUACUGACGCUCAUGCACGAAAGCGUGGGGAGCAAACAGGAUUAGAUACCCUAGUAGUCCCAUGAU
rnacentral:rRNA from 1 species